CUGCCCCGGGGCCCCGGCUCUGCAAGCAAACAGGCCGAGCGCGGCGCUGCAUCCGAAAUGCGGCAUUUGAGCAGCGCGGCGAAGGCGAGCGGGGGAGCGGCCCACCCGGAGCUCAGUGCAGAUGAGGAGAGAAAUAGGGUUCUAUGGAGCCUUUCGGGGCAAACCCACUGAUGACUGGGUGAUAGCUUCACAGGGACAAGACCCAGUUGCCAUCUGGGCCAAAUGCUGAGCUCCCUGAGGGCAGGGACCAAGCCUGUCCUGGAACUCCUUAUCUGCCCUGUAUGAUGAACCCCAAGGCCCUCUCACCCACCUCUGAAGACUGGUCAGACAAGUCCUCCUAAUGCCUAUUUCUGGUUGAGGAGAGGGUGAUCCAGGUCAUGUGUUUCUACGUUGACAGAGAUGUGUGGAAGCCAAGGUUCUGGGUCCUAGAAGCCUCUCUUUGUGCAUGGACUAUGAGAUCUCGUCAUACUCAGUAAUCACAUCAGGCAAAUUAUGAAGAUUCGGCCGGGCGCGGUAGCUCACACCUGUAAUCCCAGCAGUUUGGGAGGCUGAGGCAGGCAGAUCACUUGAGGUCAGGAGUUCGUGACCAGCCUGGCCAAUAUGGUGAAACCUUGUCUCCACCAAAAAUACAAGAAUUAGGCCAGGUGCGGUGGCUCACGCUUGUAAUCUCAGCACUUUGGGAGGCCGAGGCAGGCGGAUCACCUGAGGUCAGGUGUUUGGGACCAGCCUGGCCAACAUGGCGAAACCCCAUCUCUACUAAAAAUACAAAAAUUGGCUGGUCGUGGUGGUGGGUGCCUGUAAUCCCAGCUACUCGGGAGGCUGAGGCAGGAGAAUCACUUGAACCCAGGAAACAGAGGUUGCAGUGGGCCGAGAUCGUACCACUGUGCUCCAGCCUGGGAGACAGAGCAAGAGUCUGUCAAAAAAAAAAAAAAUUGUGAAGACUCAAUACUCUCUGACUCACUAUUAUGUAGGUAUGGGCUGGCGGAGGUUUCUCAGCCCUUCUCAUGGCCCCAACUCUAAUGAAUGUGAAACUGCACAUGUGAGUGGGCGGGAGUGUGCAUAUCUGUUGGGGUGUGUGUGUGUGUGUGUGGUGUCUGCUAUAUUCGAAUAUGUGUGCGCCUGGG
rnacentral:lncRNA from 1 species